GACGAACGCUGGCGGCGUGCUUAACACAUGCAAGUCGAACGGAAAGGCCUGCUUUCCCUUGUGGAUUGCGGGUACUCGAGUGGCGAACGGGUGAGUAACACGUGAGUGAUCUGCCCCCAACUUGGGUAUAAGCCUGGGAAACUGGGUCUAAUUCCCGAUAGGACUGCAGGGUGGUGCCUGUGGUGGAAAACGAUUUUCUAGUGGUUGGGGAUGAGCUCGCGGCCUAUCAGCUUGUUGGUGGGGUAAUGGCCUACCAAGGCGGCGACGGGUAGCCGGCCUGGGGGGGUGGACGGCCACAUUGGGACUGGGAUACGGCCCAGACUCCUACGGGAGGCAGCAGUGGGGAAUAUUGCACAAUGGGCGGAAGCCUGAUGCAGCGACGCCGCGUGGGGGAUGACGGCCUUCGGGUUGUAAACUCCUUUCGACCGCGAGGAAGCCACCUGGUUGGAGGGGUGGUGACGGUAGUGGUAGAAGAAGCACCGGCUAACUACGUG
rnacentral:rRNA from 1 species